rnacentral:rRNA from 1 species
CCUACGAGAGGCAGCAGUGAGGAAUAUUGGUCAAUGGACGAGAGUCUGAACCAGCCAAGUAGCGUGAAGGAUGACUGCCCUAUGGGUUGUAAACCUCUUUUGUCAGGGAGCAAAGGGCGCCACGUGUGGCGCUUUGCGAGUACCUGAAGAAAAAGCAUCGGCUAACUCCGUGCCAGCAGCCGCGGUAAUACGGAGGAUGCGAGCGUUAUCCGGAUUUAUUGGGUUUAAAGGGUGCGCAGGCGGAAUGUCAAGUCAGCGGUAAAAUUUCGGGGCUCAACCCCGUCGUGCCGUUGAAACUGGCGUUCUUGAGUGAGCGAGAAGUAUGCGGAAUGCGUGGUGUAGCGGUGAAAUGCAUAGAUAUCACGCAGAACUCCGAUUGCGAAGGCAGCAUACCGGCGCUCAACUGACGCUCAUGCACGAAAGCGUGGGUAUCGAACAGGAUUAGAUACCAUUGUAGUC